rnacentral:rRNA from 1 species
AAGCGGGGGAUCUUCGGACCUUGCGCGAUUGGAUGAGCCGAUGCCGGAUUAGCUUGUUGGCGGGGUAAUGGCCCACCAAGGCAACGAUCCGUAGCUGGUUUGAGAGGAUGAUCAGCCACACUGGGACUGAGACACGGCCCAGACUCCUACGGGAGGCAGCAGUGGGGAAUAUUGGACAAUGGGCGCAAGCCUGAUCCAACAAUGCCGCGUGUGUGAAGAAGGCCUUCGGGUUGUAAAGCACUUUUAUCAGGAGCGAAAUACCACGGGUUAAUACCCUAUGGGGCUGACGGUACCUGAGGAAUAAGCACCGGCUAAAUUUGUGCCAGCAGCCGCGGAAU